rnacentral:rRNA from 1 species
GAUGAACGCUGGCGGCGUGCCUAAUACAUGCAAGUCGAGCGAACAGAUAAGGAGCUUGCUCCUUUGACGUUAGCGGCGGACGGGUGAGUAACACGUGGGUAACCUACCUAUAAGACUGGAAUAACUCCGGGAAACCGGGGCUAAUGCCGGAUAACAUUUAGAACCGCAUGGUUCUAAAGUGAAAGAUGGUUUUGCUAUCACUUAUAGAUGGACCCGCGCCGUAUUAGCUAGUUGGUAAGGUAACGGCUUACCAAGGCAACGAUACGUAGCCGACCUGAGAGGGUGAUCGGCCACACUGGAACUGAGACACGGUCCAGACUCCUACGGGAGGCAGCAGUAGGGAAUCUUCCGCAAUGGGCAAGAGCCUGACGGAGCAACGCCGCGUGAGUGAUGAAGGUCUUCGGAUCGUAAAACUCUGUUAUUAGGGAAGAACAAAUGUGUAAGUAACUGUGCACGUCUUGACGGUACCUAAUCAGAAAGCCACGGCUAACUACGUG